GAUGAAGAACGCAGUGAAAUGCGAUAAGUAGUGUGAAUUGCAGAAUUCAGUGAAUCAUCGAAUCUUUGAACGCACAUUGCGCCCCAUGGUAUUCCGUGGGCAUGCCUGUUCGAGCGUCAUUUACCCCCUCAAGCUCCGCUUGGUGUUGGGCGUCUGUCCCGCUUCGCGCGCGGACUCGCCCCAAAGGUAUUGGCAGCGGUCGUGCCAGCUUCUCGCGCAGCACAUUGCGCUUCUCGAGGCACCGGUGGGCCCGCGUCCAUCAAGCUCACCCCCCCAGUUUGACCUCGGAUCAGGUAGGGAUACCCGCUGAACUUAAGCAUAUCAAUAAGCGGAGGA
rnacentral:misc_RNA from 1 species